AUUCAAAUUAAGCACUUAAGUCAAAAAAAUGAAUUUAAACGCUACAAACAAGGUUAACGUCAAGAUCAUUCGAAGUAGUGAUCUAUUGAAGGCUGAGGAUGGCAUAUAUAGAUCUCCAGAAUUAUUUCCAUUAAGGUAUACCGAAAUCACUGUCAUGUGCAACAUUCAGGAUGCAAAAAAGAGAACAUUGAUAUUGAAUAUAGCAUUCCUCGGCCCAUAGGCGAGCUGGAGGCAGGCAUUCGGACCAUAAUCAUCGCAAUAUCACAGGUUAUGUAUCUCACAUUCCACCAUAAAUUUCAAUUAUUUUUGCGGAAUUUUUUCACGAAUUUGGCAUACCAAAUAAAGUGUAAUAAAGAUUAUGAAAAUUAUUUAUUUCACUGUUCAAGUAAAAUAUUAGCCAGCUAUUAACAUUUAGUUGCCAUUUUUCUCAGCUGUUACUGUCAACGCUAUAAAUAAACGGAGUGACAUGAAAUAUAUUUACAGUGUGGCCAUAUCGCACAGCACUUCAAUCAAUUUACAAUUCAAAAAAGAUUAGCGAUAAGUUGGCACACGGUUUGAUUAAAUAUAAAUUAUAAUUAGAUUUAAAUUUUAUUGGCGUUAAAUUGUGAACGGUAGCUUUCAUACCGCGACAAUAAAAACUGAUUACAUUUAGCCCACAAGCGAACGAAUGACGUUCAAUUGUUGCUGCGUGGAGUUGGGUAUAACGAUAAAUGUGUAUGUGUAUAUAAGGGAGGCUAAUCGGAAAUUGAUUAACGGGUAUCUAAACGGUAGCUGUAGAGUUGUAUAGAAAAUCGUUAAAAUGAAGAUGCUGAGUUAUCUCAAUAUAUUAUUUUCUAGUAACAUAUUCGACCUUGUCGAAGCCUUGGAAU